rnacentral:lncRNA from 1 species
CCUUUGGCAAUUCAGUAAACAUUUUAGCAAUUUCUUCUUUCCUGCCUGCUGAAGACUGACUUCCUCCUGCUGCCAAAGUUCUAGAGUCUGGACGUCUGAGAUCAGGGUGCCAGCACUGUCGAGGUCACAGACUGCAGACCUCCUUGUAUCUUCAAAUGGAGGAAAGAGGACAAGAGAGCUCCUGUGGUCCCUUUUAUCAAGAUGAAUGCACAAGGAAAAUGUUGUACAUUUGCACAUUGGAGUACACUUCAGCCAUAAAAAGAAUGAGAUGCUGUCAUUUGCAACAACAGGCCUGAUAAUAUUGAACAUCCUUGCAUCCAUUAAAGUUUACUGUUCUAAGACUUACUUUAACCAAGUGUCUCAGAUGCCUGUAAUCAAGAUGUCAGCUGGAAUCCGUUCUCUCUGGAGUUCAAGGUUCUAUUUCACACUUACGUGGUUGUUGGCAGAAUUCAUUUCGUUGUGGUUUUAAGACUGAGAUUUUAUCAUGGUUUUCAUGCUGGCUACCAGCCAGGGAUGAUCACGACUCCUAGAAGCUUCCUGAAGCUCCUUGCCACAUGUCCCUCUCCAUGGGCACUCUGCCAAUAUGGCAGCUCACUUCUUCAAAACCAAGAAAGGAGAAAGUCUUUUGCUUGAGUCUGCUAGCAUGAUGAAGCCUUUAAAAACAUAACAUAAUCCCCAGAGGGAUAUCCCAUCACCAUUACCAUAUAACAUAAUUAUGGUGUAACAUCUCACUGCCUUUGCCAUAUUCUGUUGGUCAGAAGCAAGUUGAAAGUACCGUUCACACAUGCAAGGAAAGUGAUCACAUAAAAUGUAACUGUAAGGUGUGGAGAUCAGAGAUUAAGGGGCCCUCAAAUAUCUCUACUUAUUUUUCUUUGUCUCAUUUUCCGCACAUCUUUUUCUUUCAUGUUUUUUGGGAAUAUCUCCCAAUAAUCUAACUAUAUAUAAAUCUUUGUGUCAAAGUCUGCUUUUCAUGGAGUUCAAAUUAAGACAAUAUAUUUAAUUUACUUUAUAGUAACUUCAUGCUACUCUCAUUUGUUAUUUUUUCCAAGCAAAUUUCUAAAUAGGUGCUAAUUUAUUUGUUCAAUCAUUUUAUUAAUUUGACAACUGUUUGUUUUAGGCCUAUUUUAUUCUAGACCUGUUUUAGGCUCUGAUGCUUCAUCAGUGGAUAAGAAAAAGUUGCUGCCGCUAGAUUUAAUAUGUUUACCCUUUAAACACUACAAUCUAUUGCAAUCUGCUUUUUGACCCAAUCACCCCUAUAACUUUUCUAGUCCCAUUACAUUUGACAAAUAAAAUGGUCACAUAAAAACUCAUCAUCCUGUAAGAUAUAAUGGUAUUUGAAAUUAUUGCUGAGUUUUGUUUUCUUCAAUUAUUUUAGUGUCUGCUUUUCUCCUGAUGCUUUUCUACUACAUAGACAAAAUGUUCCAUGUUUUUAAUUUGUUUUUUAAAUUAUAUCAAUAUAUUUUGAUAGUAAAAGCUAUGCAUAUUCUUGUACAAAUAAAUUAGAAAUAAAUUUAAGCAUGCAAAAGAAAGUUGAUAGUCCCACCACCUAUACAGAACUUGAAACCAAGCUGUCCAUAUUGUUUUAAUUUUUUCCUUUUAAAAAUAUAUUGAAAAUAUUUUGCUGCCAGUAAAACUUGUUAUGCAUGUCCUGUAUUACUGAAUAAUAUUUCCUUAUGAAUAUACUGUAAGUACUCUCUUAACAUUGGUCAUUUAUGUUUUCUAAAGUUUAUUAUAUGGUUAUAAUGAAUGGUGCCAUUGUAUACAAAGAUUUAUAAGCAUCUAAUUUCUAUUAUGAUAUUUAUUUAAAUUAUUGGUGACAUCAAUUUGCUUUGCACAUCUGUGGUAUU